UACGAAGGGGGCUAGCGUUGCUCGGAAUCACUGGGCGUAAAGCGCACGUAGGCGGAUUGUUAAGUCAGGGGUGAGAUCCUGGAGCUCAACUCCAGAACUGCCUUUGAUACUGGCGAUCUUGAGUCCGGGAGAGGUGAGUGGAAUUUCCGGUGUAGCGGUGAAAUGCGUAGAUAUCGGAAGGAACAUCAGUGGCGAAAGCGACUUCCUGGACCAGUACCGACGUUCAGGCACGAAAGCGUGGGGAGCAAACAGG
rnacentral:rRNA from 1 species